GAUGAACGCUGGCGGCGUGCCUAAUACAUGCAAGUCGAGCGAACGGACGAGAAGCUUGCUUCUCUGAUGUUAGCGGCGGACGGGUGAGUAACACGUGGAUAACCUACCUAUAAGACUGGGAUAACUUCGGGAAACCGGAGCUAAUACCGGAUAAUAUUUUGAACCGCAUGGUUCAAAAGUGAAAGACGGCCUUGCUGUCACUUAUAGAUGGAUCCGCGCUGCAUUAGCUAGUUGGUAAGGUAACGGCUUACCAAGGCAACGAUGCAUAGCCGACCUGAGAGGGUGAUCGGCCACACUGGAACUGAGACACGGUCCAGACUCCUACGGGAGGCAGCAGUAGGGAAUCUUCCGCAAUGGGCGAAAGCCUGACGGAGCAACGCCGCGUGAGUGAUGAAGGUCUUCGGAUCGUAAAACUCUGUUAUUAGGGAAGAGCAUAUGUGUAAGUAACUGUGCACAUCUUGACGGUACCUAAUCAGAAAGCCACGGCUAACUACGUG
rnacentral:rRNA from 1 species